rnacentral:lncRNA from 1 species
GAGAUCAUCAGUUUUAUAUUUUAGAAAGAUAGCUCAAAGUGCUUCGUGGCGCUGGUGAGGCAGGCUGCUGCUGUAAUAUUCCUUAUUGGAGAAGGCCCAUGGUUGAACUUAGACCAUAUAUCAGAGGCAAUGGAGAUAAAGAAAUGGCUUUUAGAGACAGGUAGGAGGAAGAAACCUAGAACUCAGUAAUUCAAAACCGUAAAUCAAGCAUACUCUUGGGAGGCAGAUAUUAUUUCCAGAAGCUGUCUCACCUUAUCUACUAGAGUUGUUUCUUUUUAUGUCAUUUGAUGAAACCAAUUAGAAAUAUGUUCAGAAUGUCUUCUUCAUCACAAAUAAGGUUGUCAUCCUGCACAUUCAGGAGAAAUAGAUGUGACUCUGACAACUCUCAGUCCUAUAUACAGUUGGCAGUUCAUCAUGCUUGGUGAGUGACAAAACACUACAAAUAAGGACCCUAAUUCUCAUAGCCCAGUGCCCUAAGCCACAGAGAAACUAAUAAGAUAAUUUGAACAUAUUUAAUGGUGGCACUCAUUCACAGGAGUGUUAUCCAUUUUAUUUAAGCCUUAUCCUGAUAUUGAAAAAAUCUAAACCUGUCACCAGACCAAAUUGAAACUCCUCUUUCUCUUUCUAUAGUAUUACAAACACUUUUAAAAUUUCAUUUAAAAAAAUUGGUGCCUUGUAAUUAUAUGUGAUAGUGAGAUUCGUUAAUGCCAUAUUCAUACAUGUACAUAAUAUACCAUCAUUUUUUGACACUGUUGGCACUCACAUGCAACCAGACCCCUAAUCCCCAGGGAUUCUGUUUAACUCCAAAUCCAGGACUCUCUGCCUUCACUUCUCUAUCCAAAGAAAGUAUCCAAGUUAGAGGAACUUUGGUUCUCACAUAUAGAACCGAAGUCUGGGAACAUCUAGCACCAGAGUAACAACUGCAUGAAGAAGAAACAU